UGAACCCUCGGCGGGAGCGCCGCCGCGCUCCCAAGCGUGCACUCUCCAGUGCGCCACCAGGCCGGCCCGGGACAGUAGUUUUUAAGCAUUAGCACCACGGAGGAGGAGUUCCUGUGCAAGCUGAAGGGUCAGCUGGACAUCCUGGUGCUGACGGAAGUGAAGGUGAAAGAGAUGAAGGGGAGCAUCCGCCACCUGCAUCUCACCGAGGACAAACUGCUCAGAGAACUGUUUGACAAGAAUCUGCCGCUUGCCAUGGCUGUUGUCUGAAAGAAACAUGGAAUGUGCACCGGUUCCCUGUGACCUGCGGGACUCCUGGAUUCCUUCCAGCCUAGGGGGACCUCACGCUGCUGUUAAACUUCCUUGUAUUCCUGGGGCACUGGUUGACAGUACUAAGGCUUAGGCAGUUGGACUCUUGCUGAUGGUCUGGCAUCCUCACUUGUUUUCUCCUUAAGCAGGAGUCUGGGCCUUAGACUCUGCACUGGUGACACCAGAAAUUAUGACUUUGUCUACCCUCCCUCUCCAGUUUAUGUUACAGAUUCUGAUUAAGCAGAAGCUUCAGAACCACUGAACUUAAAACUUACCCCUAGGAAUGCAGGUGGGUUGCCCAGCGAUUAUGGGUUUGGGAAAACUACACCUUAUAGUUGGCCAGCAAUGAGAGAAAACUCUUCUGUAUGUAAUGAUAAGUGAUCCAAAUGAAAUCAGUUCUUUUCAUGCUUUUCCUUCCCAGGUACAGGCAGUGAUUCUGCCUCCUAGGACCUUCCUCCCCAGGAAGCCAUUUACGAAGGGAUAUGGGUGACCUGCUGAUGGGGGUCCAGCUUGCCAUGGACUUAGGUUUAUCCUGUUAUGUUUGCUACUGGUUACAAAUUCUGUUUUCUGUACAAUUAAAGUUUUCACUGUGUUUGGCAAAACAAAUUAAACAAAAAGUAAGGUUUCUAAAAAAUAAAAAUGAAAAUAUGCAGGGACAUGUGAAUCUCCAAACACACUUUGGAAAACAUUGGUUUUGAAAACAGAAGAGUGUUGUGUAUUUUGGGAUGAUCAUCAUUAACUGUUAAAGUUUUACAAUAGCUGUGCUUAAAGUUGUGUCUUAGCCAACUAAAAAACUAAUUUCUACCCCCAAACACUCUGAUUUCUGUCAUUAAUCGAAGUUUGGUACUAAAACUGUAUAAUUUUUCUUUAAUAGAACAUGUCUAAUGACUGUUUUUUAGUUGCUGUAGGUUUAGGGUGACUUUGUAAAUAACUUAUCUUUUAAAUCAAACAAAAUUUCUAAACAUUGUGGUGUUAACAUUGUUGCUGCUUGUUCUAGUUGGAUUAUGUAGAAUUCUUUACAAAAUCAUUUUCUUGAUACUCUUUCCAAAUGUUGUGUAUGGUACUCUGUUCUUGACACUUGGAGCAUUUAUAAAUUUGAGGUCACCAAGAGAAGGUUGUAUGUUGAUUCUGCCUUCAUUGUUGUGAUGAGAAAGCAAUGUAACUGUGGAAAUCAACCAUGGAUUUUAUUUUUAUACUGAAAAACAUUUGGGAAGAGAAUCCAUGGGUCUUAAAGAAAAAUAAUGUUGGUUCUUCCUGACCAUGGUAUGAAAGCAGGAAUGAUUGUGACAAUAUGAUCUUAUUGUUUUGUGCAACUAUAAAUAGGAGUGACACACAUUGUCUGUUACCUAUGUGCCUUCUUUGGAAAAACACAGAAGGAAUCUAGAAAAUUAAGGUUGGAAAAAUAAAUGGUAUAAGUUUGUGUAAUACCUUGAAGAAUAAAUAAUUCUAUUGUAAGUUCUGACUAAGGUACUAUAUAAGCUUUUGUUCAGCUGAAGUUUAAAACUCAAUUUAUAUUUUAUCUUAAAUAUAGAGAAUCUAUUAUACUUUUGUAUACAAAGUUUUAUAUGUCCAGCUUUAUAGAAUGUCUUAUAUUUCAACCUGUUCCAAUUAGAGGAUCAAAGGUUUGACAGCUCCAUAUCGAGAAGUCAAUUGCAUGCUCUGAAUGGAAUUGCAGUACCCAAAAUAACCUAGUAAAAACAUUCCUAUUGCAUUGAA